UGGGAGUAAAACACAAAACAUUUAAAAAUCUUGCAGCGUAGCUUGAUUGUUCUUGAUGAAAACAAAUCAAUAGAUCAUCUGCAUACAGACGAAGUUGAUGAAAAGCUCACUCUUAAUUCUUAGCCUUCAGAUAUAGACAUAUCGUCGGGUACAUUGGCCACCUGUUGGAUCUAAUUAGACUCGACCUUGAGACACCAAAGGGUUGUGUAAGCUGUUCUGUCUGACGACAGGAAGGAGAAGUUUAUCAGAAAUUCUUCAACUUUUACCUGACACCCUUUGAUUAAACUGCAGUUUUCCAGUUCUGACUUCGUAAUCUUUACUAAGCUUGUCCAAGAUGCUAAUCAUACACAACCCAGACUGAUAUUGGUCUUGGCUGAAACACUGAUUUUCCUUAUCUAAAUAUAGCUGACUAUGAUUCAAAGUGUGUGUGUGUGUGUGUUUGUGUAUGUGUGUGUGAUGGCAGAGAAGGGUACUGGGCAGUAAUCAUAGAUGCUCUAAUUAGUGCUCAAGGCUGUUUCUUCUCUGCAGUGUCGGCAGCUGAGGCAAAAUAUCAGUACCUGUCAUGCCAACACACACACACACGCAUAUGCACACUUGUAUGUUUACUAAGCGCAUAUUUUGUGGGAAAUAACCAGCAGAUUCACACAUCCGAAUAGGAGUCUAGUUUGCAGUUUAAAGAAGGGCCUGAGGGUUAAAAGGUUGGUAAUAAAUCUGAUCAGUUGCAGUCUGCUACUGCUUCUCUCACCCUCUGAGAACAAUCUGCCUCACACUACGGUCCUCUUUGUAUCGAUUUUGCAAUUGUUUAUGGUUUUGGUUGACCUUUUCAUAAUCUUUGGAAGAGAACACUCCCAGUAAAGCCACCUUAACGCUGUUAUGCAUGACUGCAACAGGAGCCUGCUUCAGCUGUCGGCAGCAUGAGAGAGGACGCGGGUGACGGAGAGACAGCACAUGACAAAUUGGAUGCAAAAUUGUGAAGCUGAACAGAGACACGGAGGGGGAGACGGGUGCUGAGUCUGGAGAGCUGUGGCAGUACAUCAGUGAGGGAAUUCUUUUAGAAGACGUCACAAAGCGCAAAGAGAAUAAUGUGGCACGUAUCAGUAAUUUAUGAUAUUUAAUAUUCAUAUACACUGCAGACAUGAAUAUUUGACAGUAUCCGGAAAGUUGCACUUUUCUGAUAAAACACUCUUAAAUGAGCGACAAUAAAGCCUGCUGCUAAUCACCAGCGGUCUGUGAUUUAUUACUUAAACUACGCACACACACUUAGGCGCAUACACACGCACGCACACAUACACACACCAGAUUUCAACACUCUCCUUUAGUCUGACUGCUGCCUUCUGCUUCCUUCUCUCCUCACUCUCCUCUUCCAGCACUUCUCCUCACUUCACGCUUCAUAAGCCUCACAUUGUUUCCAUCAAUCUUUCUGUUACUUUUCGAUAUUCAUGCAUCCUUUUCAUACCAGUCUGCUUUUCUUCCUCGCAGCAUCCAGCCCAUUCUGACUGAAGCAUGUGAUUAAAAUGAAUGCCUGUCUGCUCUUGGCUGUUGCCCUUUAAUGCUCCUCUGUCUUGGCAUCUCAUUGACAACCUCUUUACUCCUCUUUUACCUGAGCAACAGUGUGUCUGCAGAAUUGAUAUGCCGCUGACUGCAGAUUAGAAAUAUGCUCUGUGUGAGAGAGGAAGGGGUCAUACUGGAAGAUAAGAAACACAUUUUUCACAGAGAAGGAUAAUCUGCCAACAUGGGGAUUUAGGUACAUUAUUUAUGUGAUUUUGGUGUUUGGAUGAUAAUAUUAAAGAAUUUCACAUUGUUUUUUUUUUCCUUCAGUUGCUUUUCAUUCUCUAAACCCACAGCGCGUUCACCUAACUAAAUUAUUCUGUCAUGCAUCAUUACUUUUUAGUGACUGUGUCUGUCUGUGUGUGUGUGUGUGUGUGUGUGUGUGUGUGUGUGUGUGUGUGUGUGUGUGUGUGUGUGUGUGUGUGUGUGUGUGUGUGUGUGUGUGUGUGUGUGUUUGCUAGAGAGAGUGCGUUUUAAUGAUAUAUGUAUUUGGUGUCUCGCUUGCAUCCUUGGUUCAUUUUGUCUGGUCUCUGUGCACAGGCAGGAUAAUGACUUGUCUCCUGAAGAGCGUUGAGGGACUGCAUUAACAACAGGACGGUUAAAUGUAAACAUAUAUCAAUAAUAUUAAUGACUUUUGGAGGCUGUGGAGCAGUGCAGUGUAUCUAGGAAAUAUGUAUGCAUACAAACAAUAUCCUGUGUAACUGUGUGCAGAUAUGCUCCUGAGUAACUUCUGAAUGUACUUUGGAAAAGCUGCUUUUGCUUAUCAUGACUCCUUUGUGUUUACUCAGCCUGCGCAACCUUUUCAAAAGCCGAAAUUUAAUUACAACCAAGUACGCUGAGGAUUAUGCAAAGUGAUUAAACAUUAGGGGUUUGUCACCUGAGGCCCCUUUGCAGCUGUUUUCACAAAUGAUUAUUCAUCACCAUGUUUUUGUCAUGAAUUAUGGGCCCAACUUUUCACAACGAUAACCUUUUCAGAAUAGAUGAACAUUUUGGAAAAACCUUUUGUAUAACAGGCAUGAGCAAUACCAGAAUGUUGGAUAUUAAAUUGUAUUUUGCUAUAUUUGUGUGUGUGUGUAUGUCUUUGUGUGUUUGUGUUUUAUGUUGGCAUAUGGUACUGACAGCCUCUCACAUCUAACGACAAUGUGUCAGCAAGUUACAGAGCUUGAAGUCAUAAUCUAAAGAUUGGGUGUCUCGCAGGGUCACCAAUUGCAAGACCAAGUAGUUGGCUAGCGAGCUGAAGAACCAAGUAUGUCAAAGGCAGCAACUCUAUCAUGGUCCAAAUCGGUCCACAUGCUAGAGAGGCAUUCUGUUCUCUUCAGAACUUAAGCAGUUCCUCCUCCUUUUUCCUGAAUAAAAGAGAAUCCCAUGUCCCUUUGCCUCCUUGUCAAGUUUAUUUUGCUAGUUUGCAGCUUCCUGUUUGGUGCUGGUUGAAGCCCAUCUAUUGUUUGUUGGUUUGUUGACUAUGUUUGCAUAAGAUAAGACUGAGGACCUGCAACAACAUUUACUUAAUUUUACCAUAACCCAAAACCAUGAAAAACUCUGGUUCUAGACAGUUCAGAUUAAGUUCCCCCCUACUUUAGCAAAACUCAUGAUUUCAUCUCAGCUAUGGAAAUUUGUCAAAGUUUAAUUUAGAGUAAAGCCAGCAUAACAUCAAUCUCAGUCCUACAAAAUUUCUGUAUAUAUUCAAUUCAGUACUCAGGAAAUAUUGUGUUGAAAAAUAACAUUGUAACCUACCAAAAACUCAAGAUUUGAAGGUUGUUUUGGACAUAGACCAAAGACCAAUCAGUGCUGAAGUACCCAAGUCCAGGACUCAGCCCUGAGUCUAACUCUAGCCCUGAUUCCAGGGGCUUGUGACUCAACUUGGACUCAGACUUAAGCACUUGUUGCAUUUGGACUUGGAAGGAGAGGGGCAUACUUGUUCACUGAUAGGCUUUUUUUUUAACAUGAAAACCCCAAUAGUUUCUUAGCAAGGGCUGUCACUUGUGUUUACCCAAUGAGUGUUCACAUGCUAUCUUGACUAGCAACCAGGAUGUCUGAUGCCUCAUCAUCUCAGGCAACAUGGGUAUGGGGGUCCUUACUUUGAACCAGCUUUGAUUCUUCCUCAGUGACUUGAAUUUUUGAGGACUGUAGACUCAACUUGUACUUGGGGUUGGGGAUUCAACUACAACACAUAAGUCAUUAUAUAUAAGAAUCAGUCAAUUCCACCUCUUUAUUUAAAAGCAGCGCUACAGUCUACACAAGCAUCCUGGUACAUUUCGUGUACUGUCACUUAGUCAAUAAUAACAGAGCAAAGGUAUUAUGAUUACCAUGGGAAAUAACUCCUUUGAGUUAUGGUUAUAUUAGCUUUUUAGACACCAGUACGCCAAUAGAUGGACUAAAAUAAUUUAAUUGCAUUUAACACUUCUCAGUGACAGAAACUUGAGUAAUGUUGUUUGGUUGAACUUUAACAGAGAGAAACAACAGUGAGAGAAAGAGUGAGAUAUUAAUUAACAGCUGAUGUAUUAUUCAUGAUCUCCACUGCAGAGCUGUGUCUUCAUUGACUGUCAACAUAUUUAGCUAAUUAAUCCUGUUGCUAGUUGCAGUCUUGUAAUUAAAACAUGACGCUGAGGGUAUGAUGGUCUUUUGUGGGCUUUAUUCAGAGGUUAAUUACCUAAGAACAAAACUAUUAUUUUAUCACUGCUCUGAUGGGCAAUGUUUUGCUAUUGAAAUCAAUACAACUCACAAAAUUAUCUUGCCCACUGAUGGUCACCCUGCCAAGACAGUUGUUAAGCUGUGAGUGUGAAGACACUGAAAUAUCUUUUUGACAUCCUGGCUUACUACUUCCCCUUCACUGGACUAAGGUCUACACAUCCUUAUGUGGUUUAUCCUCUGGAUGACCCGUAGCUCCAGCAUUGCACUGCUCUUUGAUAAGCUCAGUCCAGGUUUAAAAUCCAGUCUUAACUUCUUGCCAUUGAAAAUAGUACAGUGCCAAGAGGCCAGGAGGUUCUUAUUAAGGCAUUAAUUAUGAGCAGCUCCUUUGUUUGGAGCAGGAAACUCUACUUGGCUUACAUAUUUUUUUCUAAAGAUAAACCAAAAAGUCUUUGAACCAAUUAAAGCUGGUAGUGAUGUGAAGUUAAUCAAGAGGGUCAUCUCCUGAUUUUCUAGCAUUAACAGUGCAGUCAGAGGUUAAGUCAGGAAAUAAAUGAAAGGAGCAAGAUCACUUCAAAUACGACACAGUAAAGUGGGGAUAGCAUCUGAACUUCUCCAUCUCUCAGAUCAAACACACAGCCUUUAAAGCUAUUUAAUUGUAUUGGAAAGGACAGGAGUGACAUAUAAAGCAAAAGUGGUCCAGACAUGGAAAAGUUUUGUGUAUGUGUGGUCCAUUUAUAUUAUGUAGCAUGACAUGAAUACAAAACCUCUAAAUCAAAAGCAGCACAUAAAAAUCAAACAACUUGGAACCUGGGAUUACUGAGGGGGUGUUAUGGAGCAGACUGUGCUACAUAUAAAUAGAGAUCUUUGUAAGUUACUGAGCUCUCCUACUGUAGACACUGAUCUUGUUUAUUCACUGUGCACAUCUUACCAGCGAUACUCCUGUUGCUUUCUUUUUUCUCAUUGGAUCACUGUACUGAUCAUGCCCUUUACCUGCAGGCCAGGUCAAUAUAUCUGUAAUGCCAGGGAAAAUAAUACAGACAGCUGUACAAUGACCUUUGAGAUCAGUAAAAACAAAAAAAGGCUGUUGCACUCUAACAGGCACAUGUAUAAUGCAUGCAUUGAACAUCUGAGUACAGGUCUGCGUAUUUUUGCUUGUGUGUGCACAUGCCUGCAAGCAUAACCAGCCAGAUUGGCAUUGAUUACUUCUAUAUUCCUGCAGAUAAUUAGCAUUAUUUGUCUCACUAUGGGACCUGCCUUUGGUAUGUUAAUACAUUUCUCUCAGUGCAGGCUGCCAUGCACUGCAUGCAGUGGUUGCCAGUAUCUCACAUUAUGAAUGCAGUUUAGGUAUACUCAAGGGGGGGUGACGGACAUCUGUCAUAUCCUGGUCUUUUCUUUCUGCUUCAAAGCAAACAUUCAAUUUGUAAUUGCAUGAUAGAUUCAAAGUGCAGAUUUGUUUCUGUGUGGAGCCUAGUUCUCUUUUUGAUCUCAGACAAAAAAACAGACAAAAUGCUUCAACAAACAACUUCAUUACAGUGCAGUUUUACAGGGAAACAGAUGUGAGCACCUUUGCAUGAAUUAAACACUAACAUUUAAGAUGAAUUUGCCUGGUCUAAACCUAAUGGCACACCCAUACAGCCUGCCUGACAUAUUCUUUAUGUGAUAGUAAAAGCAGCCUUUCUCUGUUCUUUUUACAGCCUACUCACAUCUUCCUCUGCACUAGUAUGUCUUUUCUGGGGAACACCCACUGCUGAAAUCCCAGAGGUGUGAACCUGAAUGUCUGCACUGUAACUCUGAGUCAUCAUAAUGUGUCUGCUCCUAUUCUCUUUGCCGGCUGUUGUUUCACAUGCUUCCGCGGCAUCACUCUCUCUCUCUCUUUUAACGUGUGUCUUUCUCUCUCUGUCUCUCUUCAUCUCUCUCUGUGCAGAGGAAAGGGCUGGCAAGAUAUUGAAUUUAAAUUCUUGAUUUAUCACAUUAUUUCAAAAUGCUGCUUGCAAACUUGAUGUGCUGUUUAUGCAGUAAAAUAAUGCUUGCUGAAAUAUUAUAUUGUCACCCUCUUGUUCUCUUUUUUAGCUUGUGGAGCUUGCUUAGUCAUCAGUCCUCACUGUUUUACUGAUUUGAUGUCUCCACAAGUGUUGCACAACUGUAUACAGUUAAUGUUUUCGUCUCGCUGCCUGAUCAGACCAGACUGAAGAAAAAUCUGAAGAGCUUGACAUGACUGAUCCUGAUAUUCAUAAAAAGUUUUUCAUUUGCAAUUUUGGUUUGUUUUGACAGGAUGUAUGAAACUAUAUCUUCGUUUUCUUUAAAUUUACAUUGCUCACAUUAAGAGCCAAGUAGGUAGGUGCCCUGAAAAUAUAAAACGUGCCAUGCAUUUAUGUGCUGGUUGUAUCACACAGCUCCAAGAAUAACAUCUGGCUGCCAUGUAUUGUAUAUCAAAUCAAAUCAAAUCAAAUCAAAUGUUAUUCAUAUAGCGCCAAUUCACAACAGUCGUCAUCCCAAGACGCUUUUCAAAGAACAAGAGAAGAGGUCUAGACCACGCUCAUUGUUUGAUGAAUUAUCAAGACCCAACCCAAGAUGGGAUUUGGCCCGUCUCAUCUAACAUGAGUAACAGUGGCAAGGAAAACCUUCCUUCUAACAGGCAGAAACCUUGGGUAGGACCAGACUCAUGCCAGACAGCCACCAAGCCACACACCAUAUAUUUUUUAAACCCUGAAAUAAAUGGAUUAAAAAAGAUGUUUUAAGUGGAUUAGCCUGAUACCUUGGUGCAUUGCUAAAACAUCUGUCACAAAAAAAAUAAAAACAGAAAGUUUUUAUGGGACAAAGGUUGCAACAAAUGUAUCUUAAAGCUCCUGUGAGAAACUUCUGAUCUCUGACUUGGCACACCUGGGGAUGAAUCAGUCAUUGACUUUCUUGGCCUGUAUAUGCUUCAACUGUGUUUUCUGGUCAAAGAUUUAAUCUUGCUGGCUUUUGACAGUCAAAUGUUUCAUUAAUUGUGAAUACAGGGAUGUGUCUUUAGCUGCUCAGCUAACACCUAUCCCCUAACACUAGUGUUAGGCAUCAAAAACUGAUAUAAAAAUCAUCAUUGGUCUUCCUGAUGGUCUUGUUUACUUUUGAAUGUCAUAAAAAGGGACUAAUGAGAUUUUCAGUGUGUUCCAUGGAUGUUACAAAACUCUUUAAAAUAAAGAGGAAAACCAUCAACUUACUGUCUUUGCCAGUAUGCGCCUCAAAAAACCACCUCCUUCUUCUUCUUCUUCUUCUUCUUCUUCUUCUUCUUCUUCUUCUUCUUCUUCUUCUUCUUCUUCUUCUUCUUUCACAGCGGAUGGCAACCAACCUUAGAGGUGCACUCAGAAAAUGUUGUUGCGCCGUGCGCUUUUUGUUUGUCAUUUACGGCAAAUAUUACUUUAGUUGUCCAAUAAAUG